ensembl:lncRNA
CUGGAAGCAAACCGCAGCUCUGUCUGACUUCAGAGCCCUUUUUGUAACAGCUCUAGAGAGACAGGCUUCACUGAAGGAGCUGGUAAAAACGGACUGGGCCGUUUCCCCCGCACCUCAGUGGAGCCCUGAAAACACCAGGUGUCGUCAGCAGAGCUGGCAGCUGGGGGCCCCCCUGGUGUCAGUCGUGUUGGGAGGGGCUUUGGGGCAGCUGUGGAAGACGGCGCCGGUGGCCUCAGCAGUCCUGGUGGGCAGCCAGCCGUCCCCUCAUGGCACAAUAACUGAUAUUUAUUGGACACUUACCGUGUGCCAGACACCGUCCACUGGGUGGCUUGUGGGUAGCAACAGAUACAGCAGAAAAUACCCCAAACAGAAGGAAGCUAUGAAGUUGGAGGAAUUCCCACCAGACAGUAUGGAUUUCUUAUAGAGGCAAGUUUGGGCAGAACGCCGUCUAGGCCAUUUUGCACGCGCGCUCCAGUCCAGCACAGCACCUGACACGCAAUGGGCCUUCACAACUGUUUGCUGCUGGAUGCAAAUACGGUAAUAGUUUCCCUUUAAGGCCAAGAAAGGGGCCCGUCCGCGGGUUGGAGGGAGGGGGGCGUCCUUCUGCCCGCGGCCCCCGCCCCCACCCACUCCCGGCCAGCUGCUGCGG